rnacentral:misc_RNA from 1 species
AUUCUGAGAAUAUUAUUUACUAGCAUAUUUCUGGCAUGUUUAAUUAAAUUCCACCACCCGAGUUUGACACUGCAAACUGCAGUUCAGUUACAGCGUAUAGACAGUAGUUUGCACUGAGCACCAGCCACUACGUAAAGUUCAAUCAGCAGCAAGCCAUAUUUACAUAUACCACUGGAAUCAUACACACCAAUCACAUUCUUGUGCCCAACCUAUAUGUUUCUUUCAAUAAAAAUUUAUUACACUGUACAUGAAGCUACACAAGGUUGAUGGCAGGAUAUUUACAGGAUGUCUUACUAUUGCUUUCUCAAUGUUCAGGCCGAAAGCUUACCAAAUUGGGAAGUGCUGUUAACUGAAGCUUCUUGAUUUCUGAUGCAGUCACCUUGCAAGACUCUAAAGAUAAUGAGCAUAAAUUCUUUAAAGGCUUCAGAUACCGCAAUCCCUCAUUGGUUAUGAGAGAAUUUGAAACAUUCAAUGACACUAAUUCUGCCAAUCCAGAAAUCAACUCCAAGGUUUUGUCCGUCAGGCUGCAAUUUUGUGAUAGAUUCAGUACUGUCAGGUGGGCUAGGUCUUUAAUAUUUUUCACCCCAGCAUCAGUUAAUCCUCCACCACAGAUUUCAAGGCACUGGAGAUUCUUGAAGUAUAGCAAAGAAUUUGUUCCAGCAUCUGAAAUGCGAGCCCCAAAGAGAUCUAGAUGUAUCAAUCCUGUCAGUUUUGUAAGAGCUGCAAGUCCAGCAUCUGUAAUUUGUCGAGCAUCCAAGUUCAGUGAUCUAAGAGAUGUCAAUUCAGAUAGCUUCUUUAAACCACUGUCAGUUACUAAGGUGAAUGACAGAUUUAAGUCCUCCAGAUGAGUUAAACCAGAAAGAUGGCGGAGCCCAUUACUUCCAACAUCAGUAUCAGACAACUCCAAACUUUUAAGUGGAAGGUCAGUCAAAUUAGCAAGCCCUUCAUCACCAAUCUGACAAGAAUCCAAGUUCAAGCUUUCCAAAUUUGUUAGGCCUUUUAGAUGCACCAGACAUGCAUCUGUUAUAUUGUUAAAUCCCAAGCUCAACACCUUCAAGUUUUUUAGUCCAGAAAAUUUAUCCCACCCAUCAUCAGAUAGACCACAUCUGUUCAGAUUUAAAUAUGCAAGGGCAACAAGAGCAGAGAUAGAAUCCAAGCAUCUGGUGGUAACAUUGCAUCCCUCUAAGUUCAACAUAAUCAGCUUCGGCAACCCUCUCAAAUAAGAAACUCCCAAAUCAGUGAUGUUGCUGUUGGAAACUUGCAACUCCUUCAGGCUAGUGAGACCUGAGAGAGCCUUCACGUCCAAAUCAGUAAUACAUUUGCAACAUCUAAUAUUAAGAGACUCCAGUUUCAUAAGUCCUUUAAGAUGAACAAGUCCACCAUGAAUCCGGGGACACCUUUCCAAGUCCAACUUUUCUAAGUUAACUAAACUGGAAAAGGCACGCAUCCCUUCAGCAGUAACAGCAUUGCACUUUUUGAAACUCAAAGAUGUCAAGUUGGUAAGACCACUAACGUGUUUCAGCCCACGUUCAGAAAUGUGGUCACAAUGGUUUAGAAUCAUCGCUUGGAGGUUUGAACAAUCUUUGAGAAGACCCAAUCCAGUAUCUGUGACAUCAGAAUCAGAAAGGUCUACAGAAAGUAAAGAUGUUCCUUGUGAAGAGACAACCUUCAUCCAGCUAUCCUUCACUCCAGGAUAUUCACCCAAAAGGACAUCCUGGAGAGCACAAUCUCUGAAUGCUUCAAAAGAAGCAUCAGUAAGAAAAUGUGAAAAUACCAAGUCAUUAAAGAUUUGCUGACUUAUAUCCCUUGGCAGCAUUGAAAAUGAGCCAUAUUUCUCAAUAUCCUCGCGUAUUUUGUGUAUGCAUAAGUCCAUGAGGGUUGGGCAACUGCCUCCUGGCUGGAAGUCUGCAACCUGUCGAGGAAGUGAGGCUCCCAGCCAUUUUGAACUUCACUUUUGCUGUACCUUCCACAGACUCCACUUCUGACACCGUCCUCAAUUACCUGUUGUUCUCUCUUCCUUGAACAAAUUCCACCCAUUGAUUGAUUAUUUUACCGGUUAAUGUUCAUCUCAAUAAGGGGGAGGAAGAAUAGCUGGAACCCUUUAACAAAGCUAAGCAUAUAACAUUAAGAUCGAUUCAUCCUAUAAGAAAAGGGAAGCUCUAAGGGGAGAGAAUCCAUAGCAAGAACUGAUAAUAAGCUUCAAUUAUUAUAGAGAGAGAGAGACAGAGAGAGAGAGAGAGAGAGAGAGAGAUUGAAACUGAAAGCAGCAAAGUAGGGACGGGAUUAGGAGGAGGAGGAGGAGUAGUCGGGAAGAGUGAGGAGCUCGGGUCAGAACAGUCUAAUGAACGACACGGGGAAAGAUCGAAGUCAUGAAGCGGUU